GAUGAAUGGUAUCCCUCGGUCCAACCCACUUUCAGCCUGGCGCAUUAGGGGGCGCUAGUAUAAAUAGUGGCCAUUUGAGUGUCCCUGGAUCGCUUGCCUGUGACCUCCUUUUUGGUCACCUGACUUCCUGUUGGUGUUGCUGAGAUUAGUUGCGGGUUACUUUUCUGAAGCCUCCAUCGCAGCUGGUCGUAGCUGUAGAAGCCUCCUCUGAGCCAUUCUGCUUACGUUUUAUGACACGGCUUACUUGGAUAAAAGCAAAGCAGCAGCUACUUUGGUGUGGGAUUCCACAGCUGUGUUACAGAGAUGGAGGAAGAGUUACAGGAACUCAGGGACUUGAUCGUGCAGCUGAAAGCAGACAAUGAGAGGCUGCGUCAGGAGAGGGCUGUUGGGUCAGAUGCGGAGUGCUGACGUGGAGGAGACUAGGGUGCCUUGGUGGUGGGAUCCUCUGAGUGUACACACCUGCCUUGUUUAAUUUAUUAGUGUGAGUGUGCUGCACUUGUGUCUUGGUGUAUUUUCUUUUUUUGAGUUUGUGUGUGGCAUCCCUGCCCUCCACUGGUAAGCCUCAGCUCUGAAUACCUUUUUUUGCAUACUUUUACAUUGAUAUUUAUCACUGUG
ensembl:lncRNA